rnacentral:rRNA from 1 species
UACAGAGGUCCCGAGCGUUGUUCGGAAUUACUGGGCGUAAAGGGCGCGUAGGCGGCCUGUUAAGUCGGACGUGAAAUCCCUCGGCUCAACCGGGGAACUGCGUCCGAUACUGGCGGGCUUGAAUUCGGGAGAGGGAUGUGGAAUUCCAGGUGUAGCGGUGAAAUGCGUAGAUAUCUGGAGGAACACCGGUGGCGAAGGCGGCAUCCUGGACCGACAUUGACGCUGAGGCGCGAAAGCCAGGGGAGCAAACGGG